UAGGGGAGGCAGCGGUGUGGAAUACAGGGCAAUGGGCCCGAGCCUGAACCAGCCAUCCCGCGCGCAAGAAGACGGCCCUAUGGGUUGUAAACUGCUUUUGUGCAGGAAGAACGACCGGAUCGUGAUCCGAAUGACGUACUGCA
rnacentral:rRNA from 2 species